rnacentral:lncRNA from 1 species
CUUUUGAAAGCCAGAAGUAUUCCCACAAUCCCUCCUACACCAGUGUCAAGGCCUCCAGAUCCUUCCGAAUGUUCCCAAACUCCUAAAUGUCGCCGAGCUUGAGCUCCAGGUAGGCUGGUUUCCGUUGCAGCAGAUUGAAGUCACCCAGGACUUCCGGGGAGCCAGAGCCCGUGAGCUGUGGGCUGGUGAAAUGUCAGGAGAGGAAAAGCUGUGGGUGCCAAGCCUUAGCUACAAGCAGGCCUCUGCUGUUCCCCAGAACCUCAACUCCCACCAAGACUCCAUUGCUGCGCAGCCCGAACUACACCUCCCCUGUGUUAUUCUUUGUCUUUGCGUUAAAAUUUAAGUAAACUGAAGAACUAGCCAGAUAUUCUCACCCACCAGCCUAUCUGUCUUUUAAAAGGUCUUAGAGAAGAGGCAAGAAUGAUGGUCCCUAUGAAGAUGGAGAAGAAGGCAGAGCCGUCUGCAGAUGCUGAGAGAAAUAGCAGAAGCCAGGGAUGAGCAGAGAGGGAUGAGCAUCAAAGGCCGACU